GAUGAACGCUAGCGGCAGGCCUAAUACAUGCAAGUCGAACGAUAUUAAGGGGCUUGCCCCUUAAGAAAGUGGCGCACGGGUGCGUAACGCGUAUGCAACCUACCUUAAUCAGGGGGAUAGCCCGAAGAAAUUCGGAUUAACACCGCAUAAAAACACAGGAUAGCAUUAUCCAAUGUUCAAAUAUUUAUAGGAUUAAGAUGGGCAUGCGUGUCAUUAGCUAGUUGGCGGGGUAACGGCCCACCAAGGCGACGAUGACUAGGGGAUCUGAGAGGAUGACCUCCCCCAUUGGUACUGAGACACGGACCAGACUCCUACGGGAGGCAGCAGUAAGGAAUAUUGGUCAAUGGAGGCAACUCUGAACCAGCCAUGCCGCGUGCAGGAAGACUGCCCUAUGGGUUGUAAACUGCUUUUAUCCGGGAAUAAACCUUUCUACGUGUAGGAAGCUGAAUGUACCGGAAGAAUAAGGAUCGGCUAACUCCGUGCCAGCCGCCGCGGUAACAC
rnacentral:rRNA from 1 species